AGAAUCAACGCUGGCGGCGUGCCUAACACAUGCAAGUCGCACGAGAAAGUGGAGCAAUCCACGAGUAAAGUGGCGCACGGGUGAGUAACACGUGAAUAAUCUACCUCCGAGUGGGGAAUAACUGAGAGAAAUCUUAGCUAAUACCGCAUAACACUUACGAGUCAAAGCAGCAAUGCGCUUGGAGAGGAGUUCGCGGCCGAUUAGUUAGUUGGCGGGGUAAUGGCCCACCAAGACGAUGAUCGGUAUCCGGCCUGAGAGGGCGCACGGACACACUGGAACUGAAACACGGUCCAGACUCCUACGGGAGGCAGCAGUGGGGAAUUUUGCGCAAUGGGGGAAACCCUGACGCAGCAACGCCGCGUGGAGGAUGAAAUAUCUUGGUAUGUAAACUCCUUUCGAUGGGGAAGAUAAUGACGGUACCCAUAGAAGAAGCCCGGCUAACUUCGCGCCAGCAACCGC
rnacentral:rRNA from 1 species